GAAAUGGGUCAGUUAAAAUCCCAGAUUUCACAGAAUAUUCUCAGUUGGAAGGGACCCAUAAGGACCAUCCCUGUCAUCCUUUUGCAGACACUGGUCUUUUUGGCCCUACUCCACCCUGUAACUUGACCCUCCUGACAACAUCCCUGCACUGUUCUGUGAAUGAGAAGGUUUUAGUGAGGACAGGUCCAUACUAAACCUGUGCAUUUAUUUUCAGAUGUUCAUUUUAGCCUGAGGGGUUCAUUUUUCACAUGCAGUAAUUGCAUUUUGAACACGAUGCUGCAUUUUAGUCAAAAUCAGGGGGAAAAUGCUUGAAGAAAAUUGUAUUUUUGUAAUGAUCACGGCUUUCCACUAGACCUUUAAAACACACAUUAGAAGCUUUGCGAACACAGAAGAUGAGAGGAAAAGUAGUUGGCCAAAAUGAAACUUUCCAUGGAGAGCACAGGCAGGAGAGACCAUCCCACCACACCCCUCACCUGCUGUCAGGUUGCAACAGGGAUAUUUCUGGCCACCAGAGAUCUCUGAGGUUGGCCUUUCCCAUGUGGUUUUCUAAGCCAAAACAAUCCCUUUGGAUUCCACUGGAUUCUCAGCAGGUUUCCUAAUCCUGGGAGAAACAGUUCUGCAUGUAUUGCACUACCAGUAGCAGCUAAGUAAGUUAUU